CCCGGGGACGGUCGCUCGGCCGCCGCCCCCGCCGCCCCCGCCGCCCCGCGUCCCUCCCGAGGUGGAGUAGGGACGUCGCCUAGGCCACCCGCCUUGGCACAGCGUGCCCCCUGGGUCGCGGCCUCUGCUCCUCUGCCAUCACCGUGAAGGGGUGGUCCUCUGGCCUCGGGAGCGCGUGGGCGUUCUGGACCCCCGCUGCCAGCCGGCCGGGACGAGCAGGGCCACCUAGGCAACCCCAGGACCGGGGGGGGGGGGGUCCCCAAUGUGUGAGAAGUGCACACCGCGCGCCGCGCGGUUCAGAGGUGGCUCAGGCAGCAUCGCCAGGACUGGGCUUGUAAGUGGCACAGGUGUGCUAACAGGCUGGUCAGCAGAAAGAAGUGUCUCUACUUCACGGAUGGGUCAGCACUGCCCACGGUGAAGUUAAUUGCUCCAGAGGUUGUGUCGCAGUAAUGGAAGGGGAAGGGCAUCAGCCCGGCUCUAUGAGGCACUGUUGUGAUGAGGCAUCUGGAACCAAGACUCCCUCUGGCCACGUGGCUUUCUCUUUCCAGAAUGACCAUCUAAGCUGUGAACCAAAUAGAUGCCACAAGAGAUGACCACAAUUCAACAGGCUUUCAUUUUAGUGUGAACAAAAGAUAGAACGAUCACAACCAUAUCAACAAAUCGAAAACCUGUGCACAAGAAAGAUGAUGAUGAAGACACAUCAAGAUGCUGACCACAGUCGUCGGACGGUGGAAACAUGGAUGAGUUUCUCUUCUACAUUUCCACAAUGUCAAGGUUUACUAUAGUGGACACAUACUGCAUGGGUGAUGGGAACGUAGGGGGUGAAGGGGACUACUGACCACCGACAAAGGCCACUCAGAGAAACUGAGGCAGCACGCUUCCCUGUAACCCCACAACCACCUGUAGCUCUCAGCCGCUCUGUCUUCCCGUCUCCGACACGCAUGGGGACGUAUCGUGAGCCCCCAGACCACAGCCCCACGUGUUAGCAGCAGCAAUUCUUGGGAAUACAGGUGAAUUUCCUUCUCUUUUACUAACUUCCCAGUUUUCUAUGAGUAUGUAUUAUAUUUGUAAAGGGAAAAUACAUACAUUAAAUUUGUCACCAAAACACCAAAGAUUAUUCAAGAAAUUUUAGACAAAAUAUGUAGCCAGAAUCCCACAAUGACAACACUAAUUUAAUUAUUUUUCACAUUUUUUUUCACUUUUUGAUUUGAUGCACACACAUUGAACACCAUCACACCCACAGGCUGUGCACUGGAACAACGUGGAGGAAAGGACCGAGAUGCUGGCGGAGUCCAUGGGCUGGGGAUGUGUGUGAAUCGUUUUUAUUUUCCAAUUCUGCUCUGUUUUCUAAUUUCUCCUCUGGGUAUAUGUUACACUUAUAAUGUAGACAUACACAAUAAAUGUUAUCAGGACACCAUUAUAAGGAACACUGGAAAAAUUAAGAUAAAAGGAUUUAACCAUAAUUCCAAAAGGGUACCAUACAGCUAUCUUGAACACACGUUUUGACGUGGUUAUAAUUAUAAACCUGUGUAAAGAAACAAGAAUAAACAGGAUGCUUUCGAGUGAA